UCUUUGUUUAAAAAAUUUCCCCAAUCGUGACCCCUUCCUCCUCCUCCGUUCAACCUCGCGCACAUCACCUCCUCAGUGGCGGCGCCCCCCACCUCCGUUCGACAACUUGGGGCCCACGACAAUUGCUCAGCCUCCAUUCAACCUCAGGACAGCAACCCAUCCAUCGUUCAACCACAACAACCCGUUCGACUAGAGUUAGCCUUUCUCCUCCAGCAUCUGGUUUUUUCCUUCUCCCUACGCACAACGAAAGUCCGGCAACAACACCUCUGGCACUCUACAGAUUCCCUAGGAACUGAUGAUGAUCUUCCUCCAUCACAUCAAAACAGAAUCCCUAGAGCAGGUCGUGUUGCAGGGAAUUGAAGAUCUGCUAUGUGCUCUCUCCCAUACUCUAGGAUGUAUGGUGAAACUGACAUGGAGGCCCAGAUUCACCAACUUGAGCAAGAAGCAUACAGUUCGGUUCUAAGAGCCUUUAAAGCUCAAGCUAAUCUCAUUACUUGGAUACAUUUUGUCAUUUUAUUGUCAUGGAUCUAAUAUUUAUGUUUUUCUUAUCAGGUUUAAAUGACCGCUACAUGAAAUGUAUUUUCUUCAGGAAAAAGAAAGUUUAAUAACUGAGCUAAGAAAAGAGUUGAGAUUAUCUAAUGAGGAAAAUAGAGAGCUUCUAGGACGAGUUAAUGCAGACGACAUCAUAAAGAGAAUAAGGGAGUGGAGACAAGCAGGUGGAGCUCAAGCUGGUAUGCCCAGCACAAGUCAAGAUGUUCAUGAUCCAAUUCCUAGCCCCAGAGUCUCUGCAUCUCGCAAGAAGACAAAAGUCUCCACAACAACUUCCCACUACUCAAGAAGAGGCAGGAUCAAGUAUGGCUAGUAAGUUGCCGAUUAUCUUCAAGGUUCCCAUUGGAAUUCCCAUGUUUUUGAAGAUACUUCUGGGUUCAGUUAAGUACGUAGAGCCAGGAUUCAUGAUUGACAUUCUUAUGGAGACUAAUAUUAUGGGCGAACAAUAUAGCUUAUAUAUCUCGCAUGAGGAUAUAGUACACUUUGGACUUAUGGAAGAAAUCGAUGCGUCUUGCAUUCCAUUUCAUAUAUCAGGUAAAUUUUAAAUUAAUAAACAUUAUAUAAUUUAGUUUUUUUUAAUAUAAAUAUAAUAUCAUUAAUUUUCAUGUAUGUAGUAUAAUAUAUUCUGAGUUGUGCGAUAGAGAGAUAUCACAGUUUUUUGGUUUCAUUGAGCUAUCGUGGUCAUCGAGAAUUGGGGCAAAUAUGGAUAAUUGGGCUAUCUAAGAGUGUAUCAAUAACACAGUGAUGGGUCAAACUUGGUUAAUGCCAUACCA